rnacentral:ribozyme from 1 species
AGUGGCAAGAAAAGAAAGAAAGCGGAAAAAAAGAGUUCCAAGAAGAAGAAAAAGAGAACUGAUUGAUGAGAUAGCCUAAUUCCAUUUCCAUUCUUGCAUUUAUUUU